CUAAUUGUAUUUAAAGUUUAGACUUUUCAUUCUCCAUUGAAAAAAAGGAGAGAUUUUAGAGAUGACCUUCAGGAAGUCUUUUCUUCUAAGAAUAUUUUCAUCCAAAGAGAAGACCAUAAGCCAAACCGACGAAGAUUCAUUCGAUUCUUCCGUGGAAUUUGAGAGAACCCUGACUUUUUAAGCUACCCCACC